GACGAACGCUGGCGGCGUGCCUAAUACAUGCAAGUCGAACGAGAGCGACCGGUGCUUGCACUGGUCAAUCUAGUGGCGAACGGGUGAGUAACACGUGGGUAACCUGCCCAUCAGAGGGGGAUAACAUCCGGAAACGGAUGCUAGAACCGCAUAGGUCUUCGAGCCGCAUGGCUUGAAGAGGAAAAGAGGCGCAAGCUUCUGCUGAUGGAUGGACCCGCGGUGCAUUAGCUAGUUGGUGAGGUAACGGCUCACCAAGGCCGUGAUGCAUAGCCGACCUGAGAGGGUGAUCGGCCACAUUGGGACUGAGACACGGCCCAAACUCCUACGGGAGGCAGCAGUAGGGAAUCUUCCGCAAUGGACGCAAGUCUGACGGAGCAACGCCGCGUGAGUGAAGAAGGUUUUCGGAUCGUAAAACUCUGUUGUUAGAGAAGAACAAGUGCUAGAGUAACUGUUAGCGCCUUGACGGUAUCUAACCAGAAAGCCACGGCUAACUACGUG
rnacentral:rRNA from 1 species